rnacentral:tmRNA from 1 species
GGGGCUGAUCGGUUUCGACUGCGUUAGUCGCGAUGGGGGAAGCGUGCCGGUGCAGGCAAGAGACCACCGUAAGCGUCGCUGCAAACCAAUAAGCGCCGACAAUGCUCAGCGCAGCCAGUCUGACUUCGCUCUCGCAGCGUAGUUAGGCAGAUGGCUCGUCAGACCGGGAAUGCCCUCGGCCCGGACCCUGGCGUCGACUAGAGGGACAAACCGUUUAUCCCGGUCACGGGGGUAAGCGGGACAUCAAACAGUGACUGGGAUCGUCAUCACAGCUAGUCCGUGAGACUGUGAGAUCCGAGUAGAGGCACAGCGGACUGCGCACGGAGAAGCCCUAUCAACACAACGGAGGACCCGGGUUCAAUUCCCGGCAGCUCCACCA